ACAGGCUGCAGCUGACUGAACUGCAGACAGAAGACUCCCAGAAGUGCACGGGUGCAGUAUACCAUAAACAAAAUGCUAGAAGAUGCUACAGCAAAUGCUGAUAGAGCUUCUGAUAGAUCUUUAAAGAGUCCUAAUUUUUGCCAGUUAGUAUAAUAAUAGGACCUCAAUCUACAGGAAAAGUUAGUGGCAGAUUAAAGAAUAUUUCUUUAAUCACAAAUUCUGAUUGCCAGGAGCAUCAUUUCUAAGAAUUUUUGUGAGUUAUUCUGAAGCCUUACACAGCCUGUACAGACCAGAGUAAUGAGUUAGAAAUCCUGGUAGUUUUGCCUGAGCAAAGACUGCGAGAUCAGGCUCUAUAUUACAAAUUCAAAUAAAAUCAAGAAAUAGAGAAACCUGAUCAAAUUGGGUUCAGUGAGGACAUUACUGACUAUUGACUAUUUGUUCUUACUAAGGACUGGAUCUGCCACAAUGAAUUCUCUCCAUCCUGACUGGGAUCUCUUGGACAAACAGACAAAGAACCACCACCAUCUUAUUGGUGCUAAAAGAGAAGCCUCCCCAACUCACAGUGAGAAACACUUGAGUUUCCAGGUGAUGGCAGUCCUAACUUGCCAAGUACCCAGCACCUACACAACAAUAUUGCAA